GAUACUUGGGUCCAAAUAAGGACCAGGGCCAAAGGGUAUCAGUGGUGCCCCCAAAGCAAUGCAAUGUCUUCUGCCAUUUUUAAUUCUUCCUACUUGGCUUUCUUUGGAUUUUGUAUUGCAGAGGCACACCCUGGGACCAUUACAGAUGAGGCUGUGGACUGUGACCUUGGGGGAGAUGGGGAGAGAAGGAAGAGGAAAUGGGAAGAGGUUGGUGAGGGUGUGAGGAGGAGGAGGUAAUGGAAGUUUAAUGGAGUAAUAAACGAUCAAAGUGGGGUGGUGUGCAUAGCCAUGGGUAGAGCGUAGCGUCAGAGCCCCAUGUGUUGGCUUAGAAGGGGCUUCAGGAUGAGUGCAGGGGAUUCAGGACAUUUGCGGUAAACGGUUUCAAUCUAUAGAAGUGUUUCUCUGUCUCUACCUCUGAUCCCAGCUUGCUUUCCUUCAUUCCUGUAUGCAUUCACAGAUCAGAAAAUAUGAGUCCCAUGUACCAGUUCCUGGGAACACAGCAGUAAAGAAGGCAGGCAUAUUUCUGCUCCUCACAUGGUUUUUAGUCCUCUGCCUCUUUGAAGAAAGGCACUCUGAGAAGUGGGAAUUAAAUGGCUGUAGAUGAGUUGCAACAAGAAUUGUAUGACCUGCCUUCUGGGAAGGAUGCACAGAUCAGAAGAGAAGCUGUCAUGACUCAGACCAACUGAGAACACUGGCCAACAAUGCACUGGUUCCAAAGGCACCAGCUCAGUCCUGUGGAUUUGAAGAUUCUGGAGUGCUGGGGAAGGGGUAACUGGACUCUGAAGCAUUUCUCCCUUGGGAGGCUGGGCCAGCUUCAGCCAAAGCCCUGGCCAUCUGUGCAAGGAACAACACUGCUGAACAGCAUGCUUUCCUGGAGCUGUCCUCCCUGCUCUGUGUAUAGACUCUUGGGACUAUGGCAACAGAUGUGGAAACUGAGGCAUGGCUAAGGAAGGCCAUGAGCCACCUGGUCAUCCACCCCAGCAGCGCCUCAGAGCCUGAGUGGACUCAGGCUCUGGAGUCCAUUGAGCUCAGCACUGCAUCUGAAGGAAUUUGUUGGACAGCUUGAGCCCUCCCUGCAAGGCAGGAUCUACUGAAGAAGAAUCUGGAACUAGAGAGGCCCUGGGCUCUGCACUCCAGUGGGGGGAGUGCAUGACAGGGGAGGGAAUGACAGGACAUCUUUGGUCACUUCUGCUUCCUGUGCUCCCCACCAUUCCUGAAUUCCUCGGAACAGUGUCUGUGACCCCAGCCCUGUUUACCCACUGGUGUACCCCAGGGUCUACAGCCAUCCAGGGCACACAGCGGCUUCUCAGAAAAUAUGUCUUGACUGAGGGUGGAUGGUGCCCAUUUAUGGCAGCAUCCUGAGGCUCUAGAGCCCUUUCUGUUUCUUUUCCAGAAAGGCCCAGGGGUGGGGGUGGGGGACUUGGGAAGUGAAUGCAGUGUAUCUCCAUGUUCUCAGCCUCACUCCAACCCUCCCUGCCUGCCUCUGCCCCGUCCACAGUGCCAACCCACCACCUUGCCACCCCAUCAUCAUGGCUUCCCUCCCCUUGUUGAUCCUUUCUUCAUGUUAACAAGCUCAUAUUCUACCUCACCUUGGUUAUUUGCCUCAUGUAUCAAAGUCUUAAGCUAAAGGAAUAAAUCUCUAAGAUGACUGAUUUCCAGCAUCAUAAGGGAGAAGAAGGCCUGCAUUGGGAGGGGGUAACAGUGGGGACUUCUGAAGACACAGAAAAUGCCUAUGAGACCUAGAGCUCCAGCUCCCCAACCAGUCCCACCCAGAACUUCCCAUGCUAUCUGUAUGACCCUGGGAGGAAGUGACGCACAGGUUUCCCUGUGAGGCUCAUGCUGAGUGUGAAAGCUGAUGACAAGGGUUGCAGGGGGAGCUGAACAAAAGCAGCCCAGAAGUGAGUUUCUUCUCAGCAUAUCACCUUACUGCAGCGAUUCCAGGAGUCAGUGAGGGAGGGUGGCCCCGCCCACCUCCGCAGCUGCCUGGGUGUGGCCUGGGGAGUGGGGCAGGCUGGGCCGUGAGACAGAUGAUUUCAAUUUAAGGCAGUAUUUGGGGAGAAUUCUGUUCCACUCGAUCAUUUUUCUUCGCGCCCCCCCCCCACCCCCCAAACUUGAUUCCAUCAGUGGUGGAUGAGAAAGGCCUGUUUCCAUAGCAACGCCACUGUGAAAGAGGGAAAAAUCAGCAACACAGUGCAGGCUGUUUUCAUUUGCAAGCGGGCACUUGGGUGGGUAAAGAAGUGAAGGCCCAGUUAACACUGAGCAGGCUCUGAGCCCCAGAUUUCCUAGUGGUCGACCAUGUGGGGCCCCAGAAAAAGCUUGGUACAUGCGGGAGCACCAAAUAUUACAUCCAGGGAAACACACCUGUUCAUUGCCUGGUUUCCAUUAAACCAGCCUGAUUUCUUUGGGCUCUAGGCCUGCUGUCCUGUGUUUAUUUUCAUGGCUGAUGUUACCCAACCAGACUGAUGAGUCUGGAUAUUUCUCCUUUUCUUAUGUUGUUUCCUGUUUAGCUGACUGUGCUCAAUAUUUCUGUGCAUGUUCAUUUCCCAUCUGAUGCUGCCAAAGAGGACUAGGGUUGUUUUCUUAUCUUCCAAGCCCACGGCCUAGACAUUGUUCCUAAUCAAAGGGAUCAAUCCAAAGGGAGGGAAUCUUUGGGAGAAAUGAAGGGUUUCAGCUUAACCUCUACACCCUUUUGGAAGAAGCUGCAUUUCUUGGGAGAAAUUGUUGGCUGGACUUGGUGUCCCAGCCCCAGGCCAGAAUGAAAUGUUCAGCAAAGGUGUUUCUAGGAGGCUUGCUGCUUUGCAGAUUUUCAAGUCUGGGCUUGAGGAUUGGGGAUAAAAGUGACCUUCACACCUUUCUGAGGUUCUCAUCCUGGUGAUUUCCUUGGAGAUCCAUAUACCAGCCUAGCUCUGGGCCUGGCCAGAACUAAUGGUCCUGGGUCUGGAACUAUCCCCAAUAUAAUCUUCUCCAGGGUUUUGCCCUUCACUGAGAACUCCACUGGGCCUUUUAAAGUAGAUUAAAUCCAUAUGUUUCUGAUUCAUUUACACUUAACUCAUCAGAAUGUUCCCCUUUUUAUGAGUGAUUUGUUGUCUUAAGAUGCCUUUGCAGUCUUGUUUGUAAGUGUUUCUUUUCCCCUUAGAAAUAAGAUACCAUGUAUUCUCAAAGCAAGAGUAUAGAGGACUGUGGUGGUAGAAAUGUAACUUCAGACCUGAAUUUUGUUUUGGUUCACAGAGGAAAUAAAAUGUUUCAGCAAAGCUG